UACAGAGGUCUCAAGCGUUGUUCGGAUUCAUUGGGCGUAAAGGGUGCGUAGGCGGCGCGGUAAGUCGGGUGUGAAAUCUCGGAGCUUAACUCCGAAACUGCAUUCGAUACUGCCGUGCUUGAGGACUGGAGAGGAGACUGGAAUUUACGGUGUAGCGGUGAAAUGCGUAGAUAUCAGGAAGAACACCUAUGGCGAAGGCAGCACUCUGGGACGGUACUGACGCUGAGACGCGAAAGCGUGGGGAGCGAACAGG
rnacentral:rRNA from 1 species